UGUUAAUGCCUGCGUUCUUUUGAUAACACUGGGCCCAUGACUUCAUGCGCUCUUUAUUUUGAAAGUAGCAUUCCAAUAUGUAGCUGUAACUAUCAUCUGUCAUGAAAUAAUUGGGUACCAAAACCGAUAUUAAUGAUUUUAUUUCACCAACCAGAACCUCUUAUAUGUUGGUGUCCUUUCAGUUGGACAGAAUAAAUGUUACUGGAUAAUCAAUAUUUUUAUCAUCUAACACAUGGACUUGUGGUCAAUUCAAUGUCAUAGAGUCAGGGGUUGACAGCGAAGAUCAUUGUGAUGAACAACAUGAAUAGCAAUAAACUGAACAAGUACCACUGAGGAAGAAUGAUCAAAGUGAGCUGUAAUUCGUGAAGGACAGACUCCUUGCAUUUUGAUACUGCCACUAGUUUUAGGAGCUCGUAUAUUACAUUUACUAACAGAAUUUGCUAGAUUACUUCUGACAUUCAUAGUAGAAAAUAAUAAUUCGUCAUAUAAAAGAAUUAGUUUUUAACUCUAAAUCUGCUUUUCGUGUAAAAAAAAUCUUCCGUUUUCUUAAAUUGUAGAUCCUUUACU